GACAGAGGGUGCAAACGUUGUUCGGAAUUACUGGGCGUAAAGCGCGUGUAGGCGGCUUGGCAAGUCGGGUGUGAAAGCCCUGGGCUCAACCUAGGAAGUGCACUCGAAACUGCUUCGCUUGAGUAUCGGAGAGGAAAGCGGAAUUCUCGGUGUAGAGGUGAAAUUCGUAGAUAUCGAGAGGAACACCGGUGGCGAAGGCGGCUUUCUGGACGGUUACUGACGCUGAGACGCGAAAGCGUGGGGAGCAAACAGG
rnacentral:rRNA from 1 species